rnacentral:rRNA from 1 species
GUAGGGCGGGACACGUGACAUCCUGUCUGAAUAUGGGGGGACCAUCCUCCAAGGCUAAAUACUCCUGACUGACCGAUAGUGAACCAGUACCGUGAGGGAAAGGCGAAAAGAACCCCGGCGAGGGGAGUGAAAUAGAACCUGAAACCGUGUACGUACAAGCAGUGGGAGCACCUUCGUGGUGUGACUGCGUACCUUUUGUAUAAUGGGUCAGCGACUUAUAUUUUGUAGCAAGGUUAACCGUAUAGGGGAGCCGUAGGGA